rnacentral:rRNA from 1 species
GAUAUUGCACAAUGGGGGAAACCCUGAUGCAGCGACGCCGCGUGGGUGAAGAAGUAUUNCGGUAUNUNAAGCCCUAUCAGCAGGGNAGAUAAUGACGGUACCUGAGUAAGAAGCCCCGGCUAACUACGUGCCAGCAGCCGCGGUAAUACGUAGGGGGCAAGCGUUAUCCGGAUUUACUGGGUGUAAAGGGGGCGCAGACGGAAAUGCAAGCCAGAUGUGAAAGCCCGGGGCUCAGCCCUGGGAGUGCAUUUGGAACUGUGUAUCUAGAGUACUGGAGAGGUAAGCGGAAUUCCUGGUGUAGCGGUGAAAUGCGUAGAUAUCAGGAAGAACACCGGUGGCGAAGGCGGCUUACUGGACAGAGACUGACGUUGAGGCCCGAAAGCGUGGGGAGCAAACA